rnacentral:misc_RNA from 1 species
GAUGAAGAACGAAGCGAAAUGCGAUAAGUAGUGUGAAUUGCAGAAUUCAGUGAAUCAUCGAAUCUUUGAACGCACAUUGCGCCCCUUGGUAUUCCAUGGGGCAUGCCUGUUCGAGCGUCAUUUGUACCUUCAAGCUCUGCUUGGUGUUGGGUGUUUGUCUCGCCUCUGCGUGUAGACUCGCCUCAAAACAAUUGGCAGCCGGCGUAUUGAUUUCGGAGCGCAGUACAUCUCGCGCUUUGCACUCAUAACGACGACGUCCAAAAGUACAUUUUUACACUCUUGACCUCGGAUCAGGUAGGGAUACCCGCUGAACUUAAGCAUAUCAAUAAGCGGAGGA